GUGCUCACUUCGGUGGCACAUACACUAAAAUUGGAACGAUGCCGAGAUCAGCACAGUCCCCAAGCAAAGACGACGUGUAAAUUCAUGAAGCAUUCCACAUUUUU
rnacentral:snRNA from 1 species